ACACACAGGGUGGGUGCAGGGCCCCGUGGGGACACCCCUCCAGGACCCCCAGGGAAAAAGAGGGAGCCCUGCUGCCCUCGCCCACCCACCUCAGCCCAGCCCCCAGCCCGAGCUCACUGGUCAGGCAGACAGGGCCGUCUGCUCCCGAACCCUCUCCAAGUCAAUACAGUACUUGGAGCGCCAGGCUCCCUCCACGAAGAACACCUGGACGUUAACAGGGACCUGCUGUGUCAUUACCACGGCCCCGUCACCGCUCUCCCCACCGACCCUCCCCAGCUGCAGCUCCAGAGCACCGAGGGGGUGAGAAAACGAGGCGCGCCUGGGCCCACGGCCACGUGGCUGCAAGGGCUGGUGAGAUCAGUCUUGCACAGAAAGAUGUGUAUAAAGAAAGAGAAAGAAUGUGUAUUUGACAGUCACACAAAAGAUCCAGGCUUCCAGAUGGCAUAUAAAUCCACACUAAAUAACCCGGCAGGCAUAAACAACUGAGCAGACAAAAAGCCCAUCGGAGACUGAGUUUAAAAAGAUUAUGCCUCCAACAUGAAAAGUAUAAAAGCAUGAGAGCUGUGUGCGUCGUAGAGACGUCCAAACAGACCGGAAAUGUUUCUGCAGAGCAGUCUCAACAGAAUAAUCCCGCGUUGAAAUGUCUGCACCAGUGAAUGUGUGUUUACACACAGUAUUAGCCUAAACCCAAUGAAUCGGUCCUCUUGUAGGGCAGUAACAGUCAAAUUUGGAACUUCCAUACGGUUCCUGAAUACACAGGGGGUAAAAAGAGAACAACCAGCUCCUCUCCAGGGAGAAAGGGCAAGGCUUCCCCCCCAGGAGCGCGGGCGGGGGCCUUGGGGGCCUUGAUCCCCGGGACCCAGGCCACCCACCGGGAGUGGGAUGAGCCCACCCUGGGGCCGGGCAGGCUGCAAAGGACGCAGGUGAGCGUGGAGGGACAGACAGGAAGCAGCAGGAUGCUGGCCCGAGGGCCUCCAGCGCAGGAGGCAGAGCUGCAGGGCAGCGUGCCACAGAGCAGGCCCCUGGGGGAAGGGCCGCAGAAGCCAACCCACGUCCACAGUCACAGCCUCGGCCUCCACCGCGCCCUCUCAGGAACGAGCUUCCGAAAACCGGGGAGGCCGCCAUCAAGGGGUAACUCACAUAAAAUCUGCCUUCUGCCCGGACCCGCCCUCCCCACUGUCCCCGCGGCCCUGAUCCACGUCCACAUCGCCGGCACUGUGCUCAUUUCCCGCCCCAACAGAUACUUCCACAAAAUGUUUUAAUGCCUUUACAUAAGUGACCCUUGAACAACACGGGGGUCAGCGGGCGUAGAAUUUAGUUGUAUCGCGAUCUGCAUUCUCCAGUUCAACCAACAACAGCCCGUGGGGCAUUUAGUAGUGAAAAACAUCCCCACAGAAGGGGGGCCCAUGCAGUUCAAACCCUUGUUUUUCGAAGGUCACCUGUGCAUAUAUGUCUUCAUAGCUCUCCCUCUGUAUGUAAGGAUAUAGAAUGAGAGCAGAGCACCGAUGCUGACCCAGACGGGAUGGAUCCACAGGAGAAAGUGCCUCUGCAGAACGGCUGGGCCCCGGUGUUUUCCUCAGAAAGACAGUGGGUUUGGAGAAGGUGGAUUUCCUUUUUUUCCUUCUGAAAUGAACACUUACUAAAGAUUUUAUGUAACUGAUUAUUUAAUGGGGGAAACAAAGAUGUUAAAACCACUCAGCACCCAGGCAGCCCCGGCAGAGCACCUGUAUUUCUAUGGACACGUCACCUGCAUCAGCAUCCGUUUUCUGCAACUUACAGGGGCGUAAAAUAGCUCAAAGACAAGAAAACCAGAAACGGUGAGCUGGCCAGUAUAUCCAGGUUUUUUGCCUAUUUCAAAGUCUUUCACAGAUUUCCUGACAGUCUCCGGAGUGGUAAUGAUCUCAAAGAUUAUUCUUUGACACACACAAACAGGGCGGGUCUCACAAGAAUGCUAAUUAACCAGCCAGGCCUCCUAGGUUUCUUUUGCAAAUUUAGAUUAAACAACUACUAAUGCCACAAGAUCAGCUUCUGUCUGAAAUUCUCACCAGGAAGCUCAGGCUGGACUCUGCUACCCCGAGGGCAGGCAGGGGCGCCAGGCCAAGCGCCUCUGUGGCCCCUCUAAAUGUGUGCGGAGAAAAGGAAGCCCAGCCAGGGGAACGGGGGCCACGGAUCCAGACACUUGCAAGUGGCAGAGACUCAAAUGCAGGCAGGGGGUGGGAAGCUUUGCAGAGGAGGCCGCGGGGGAAGCAGGGGGCCCGCUGGCCGUGGCUCCCUGUGCGAUGGCGUCCUCUGUGUCGCCCCACAUCGGGGAAGCUGUCAGGUAUCAAUCGAGUCCUGAAGUUAUUUUUAGCUCCCUGGACUGUCCCAGAGAGCACUCUGACUUGGCCUCCCAGGCUGGGGGUGCUGGGGGAAGGGGCUGGGCAGGCUGCUCUGCCAUCGCCCACUCGUAUAUUCAGUCCCGGCCUCUCGUACUCGGGUCCCCGCUUAUCUCAGAUUCCCUGGCCUGCAGGAAGCGACCUUCCCACCACGGAGGGCGGGGACCCCAGGGCCAGACUGGCUUUCCUGGGGGGCUCUGUAGCCUUCACUCCCUAAAGGCAGCUCAGUUCUGUGACAAGUGGCCUGUCACAGUCAAUCACACAAGCAUCAUUCAGAAAUAGGACGUUCUGAGGAAGGCUCUCAAGUUGUCCAAUUAUAUUACAUCCUGGUAAAAAGAACAAAGGACAGUAGGUAGUUUCUCACAAACUUAUACACAGAAUUACCGUUUGUUCUAGUAACUCUGCUUCCGGGUACGUGCACACCUAUCCUCCUGGCUGCGUCACUCACAACAGCACAGGUGGUGACAACGCAACAUCCACUGAUGGGUGAGUGGAUGGACGCAGUGUGUCCAUCACGCGGUGAGUCUCGUUCAGCCUCAGAAGGAGAUUCUGGCACCUGCUGCACAGGGAGGAGCUUGAGGACACUGAGCCGAGUGACAUGAGCCAGACGCACAAGGGCAGCUGCUUCGUGAGUCCACUUCUCUGCCGGAAAGUGGACUGUUGGCCCAGGGCGGGGGCCGGGGCGGCAAGAUGAGAGGGUCCUGGAGAGGACGGGGGUGGUGGCACCUCAGUGCGGGGGACAUUGGGAAGUGGUUACGGUGGAAAAUUUUGUGUAUGUUUUACCACACACACAACAGAGAAGGAAAUUCUGGCAUCUGCGACCAUGUGGAGGAACCCUGAGGGUGUUACACCGAACAAAACAAGCCAGACGCGGAAGGACACACUCCGUCUUGCCCCACUUACAUGAGAAAUUUUGCCUGUUUUCUAGAGAAUUAUUAAUUCCUAUUGAUGCCACUGAGCUGUACACUUAAACUGAUUAAAACGGUAAAAUUUUACAUCUAUUUUACCACAAUAAAAAAAGUUUGAAAGAAAAAACGCCCCCCAGAGUCGUCUUUUUGAACCUAUGCAAAUAGCUGUACCAUCACACAAAAUGAGGAAACUUAGCAAGAAUUCUGUCAGGAAGAACUAGAUGUCAUUUCCGUCUACCAAGUUUUUAUGGGUUACAGACCGUUGAAGAAAGAGAAACUUUCGUGUGUCUGGAAAACAGAACUGGAAACGUCAGCAAUAUUCCGAGCAAACCACCAGUUUCCCACCUUGGUCUGUGGGUCCCAGCAGCUGCGCCCACGCCGUCUGCAUCCAGAGGAGCCUGGAAACCCUGACCUGCACCCUGGAUGAAGCUCUGAGUUGCUGAAGCCAGGAGAACACAAAAGCCUGUUUUGUUUCACUAGUUCAAAGUACCUGGUACCAGUCCUUCUUUGCUGAGGACACACACGAAAAGCCCCAAGUCAUGCCCAGAGGGCACAGGCUGCCGGGGGUGACUCACGUGUUUCUCUCACCGACAACAUGAGAACGGAAGGGGGUCAGAUUCUCUUUUGGGGUACAGUACGUAACAAACGUGAUCAGUGUUUCCCCUGAGAAUAAAGGCGUCCCCAUAUAGCACACAGCUUCUGAAACAUUUAAACGAGUAACGGUUUCCUGUAAACAUAACCAAAGCAGCCUCACAACAGUAACACUUCAAACAAAUCUGAUUAAUUGUAUAAUCGCUCUCUUUAUAAGGUGAACGGCCUUUGGGAUUCUCCAGGGGCACUCUGGGAAGUCUCAAUAAUAGCUUUAGGUAUAAAAGAUAAUCCUGAAAACAUUUUUUUUUUUCUAAAUUCAGGGUCCGACCUUUGGAAGCUCUGUCAGAGUCCACCUGGGCACUUAAGAUGGGGUCAUGGAUGCCUGAGAACCAGGACAUGGUUAUCAAUGAACGAAACUAAGAAAACCUUAAGCUCCUCAUAAGUGAUCAACCUUUGUUCUUUGUGGGGCUGUUUUUCCCCUUAAAACAUAAAGCAUCAAAGUUAUUGUUUUGGGGACUUCCCUGGCGCUCCAGUGGUUAGGACGCUGCGCUUCCACUGCAGGGGGCGUGGGUUUGAUCCCUGGUCGGGGAAUGUGGGAAAUGUGGCGAGCAUUGCCCUCUGAGGAGUGCGCCAUUAAGACCCUCCUAAGCCUCAGGGCCCGAUUGUACUCUCCUUGGUAUGCAUCCUGGACUUUAUGGUCAUGAACGUAAAAAAGGAGAUGGCCUUUGGCCAGAUCGCUCCAGGGACCUGCUCAGAUACUGAGAGUCCCUGGUUGUUCCCUAAAGCUAGGAAAAGCAACCCUGGAGGGGAAGUUGGUGCCUUUGUGGAACAAGCGAUAAACCCGCUCCCCAGAGCCAGUCCAGUCCGCCGGCGGCGAGCAGCAGGAUGAGCAGCAGGAUGUUCGAUGUUCGCGGCGCCGCGCCCCGGGCGCUGAGACCGAGCCCCUCGAGACAGUGGCAUUCCUCUCUUUUAGGGCACAAUGACUGUGCAAAGUCCCUGCAGAUAUGGUGGCGACUGAGCCGAGAUAAAAGACCAGUUCUACAGAACAAUGCUUAUACAAAGUUUCUGCUUUAGGGCGCCAUGUCUGUUAAGAGUCCCUGCUUUAGGGGUGUAUAUAUAUGACUAUGCUUUGUUAUUAAACUUGCUUUGCAACCAUCAGUUGUUUGUGCCCUUCUGAUCCCAUACCUUGGUGCUUUCCGUUCCCUACCCCCUCUCGUCGAUUGUUGCUGCACUUUGAGGACCCGCCGCGGCUGGCGGCAGGUGGCGCCCGAACAGGGACCUGACGAGAGGGACAUCUGAAUCUCGGUAGGUGAAUCCCCGGAGUUAAGAGUGAAAGUGUGGCCACAUAGUAAAAUUGAUAGUAACUCGGGGCAAUAGUCAGAAGUAAAAGAAUAUGGGACAAAAAGGAUCUAAGGAGCGACAAUUGUUCGCUCAAGUUUUACUUUCGAUGUUAAAAGCUCGCGGCACUACUGUGACCGCUUCUCAAGUUUCUGAUUUUCUACAACAUGUUUAUGAAGUCUCUCCUUGGUUUCCAGAAGGGGGCUCUGUGGAUGCCGCUAUAUGGAAGAGGGUUGGAGAGGAUCUAAAAAGGCAUUACGAUAAAAAUGGACCGGGUGGGGUACCCGUUAUUACGUUUAGUAACUUGUGUGAUAUUUCCCCUCCGGUCCCGUCUGCUCCCCCCUUGAUGGCUAAAAUGGCUCUUGAAACCUCCUCUGAUGAGGACGUCUCUUUCGAUUUGGCUGAUGCGGAAGCUAAAUAUGAAGCUGAAAAAUACCCCGAUGAACAUAUUCUGGCUCAGGGUAUUGGUCAGUCCCAUUCUCCGCAACAAAGCGCACAAUUGCUGCAUUGGCAAGAUUCUGAAGGUUUAGGAGACCAAAUCGUGGCUUUAAAGUUGAAGGUGCGUUUGAUCUGCCAUGCGCUAAAUAUCCUUGGAUUUGUGUGCCUCAACACGCUUGUAAUGAAACCGACUGGGAUUGGAACAAAGUAAAAAUGCACAUUUUAAGUGUAUGGACUGAUGGACACAUUAGUUUGGACAUACAAAAACUUAAUGCGGAAAUAACAAGCAAUUCAAGAAGCUCAUCUACAAGAAGACGGGCCCCAACAAUUAAUUCAAGGACUCUUGGAUCAGCUUCAAUGGUUAAACCCAAUGCAUUGGUUUCAAAAUGGACUCACAGGAUUGACUACCGUGGGCUCAUGUGUAUUGUUGAUUUUAAUUGCAUUACCUUGUUUAUUUCGCUUUAUUGUUGGCCGUCUCGCUACUCUACAUCAGGAUGUGUAUGGGCUGAAACUGCAUUAUCAAGCUUUAAAAAAUAAAAGAGGGGGAAAUGUGGCGAGCAUUGCCCUCUGAGGAAUGCGCCAUUAAGACCCUCCUAAGCCUCAGGGCCCGAUUGUACUCUCCUUGGUAUGCAU